rnacentral:rRNA from 1 species
AUUGAACGCUGGCGGAAUGCUUUACACAUGCAAGUCGAACGGUAGAGGGGGCGACCCCUUGAGAGUGGCGAACGGGUGAGUAAUAUAUCGGAACGUGCCCAGUCGUGGGGGAUAACGUAGCGAAAGUUACGCUAAUACCGCAUACGAUCUAAGGAUGAAAGCGGGGGACCGUAAGGCCUCGCGCGAUUGGAGCGGCCGAUAUCAGAUUAGGUAGGUGGUGAGGUAAAGGCUCACCAAGCCAACGAUCUGUAGCUGGUCUGAGAGGACGACCAGCCACACUGGAACUGAGACACGGUCCAGACUCCUACGGGAGGCAGCAGUGGGGAAUUUUGGACAAUGGACGCAAGUCUGAGCCAGCCAUUCCGCGUGCAGGAUGAAGGCCCUCGGGUUGUAAACUGCUUUAGUACGGAACGAAAAGGUCUCUCCUAAUACGAGGGGCUCAUGACGGUACCGUAAGAAUAAGCACCGGCUAACUACGUGCCAGCAGCCGCCGUAA